GGUUUCUCUCCUUGUUCUUUCUAGGUGGAUGAGAGCCCUGACUUUGAAAUACACAUAACCAUGUGUGAUGGUGAUCCACCCACACCUGAGGAAGAUUCAGAAACACAGCCAGACGAGGAGGAAGAGGAACCAAAAGUUUCUACACAAGAAGUGGGAACUGCCAUUAAGAUCAUCCGGCAGCUAAUGGAAAAGUUUAACUUGGAUCUCUCAACAGUUACACAGGCCUUGCUGAAAAACAGUGGUGAACUGGAGGCCACUUCCUCUUUCUUAGAGUCUGGACGGAGACCUGAUGGUUUCCCAAUUUGGUGCCGACAAGAUGACUUAGAUUUGCAAAAGGACGAUGAUGACACUAGAAAUGCACUGGUCAAAAAAUAUGGAGCUCAGAAUGUUGCUCGGAGGAUCGAAUUUCGAAAGAAAUAAGGACAAGAUAACCAAGACAGGUGACCAUGUAAGCAUCUUGUGACCAUUGAAGCUGACGGGUGCUGCCGCUCUGUGAACCCCAGGUUUUGUAGCCAAGCAGUAUAAUGUAGCAGGAUAAAACA
rnacentral:lncRNA from 1 species